UUGCUCCCGGAUGUUAGCGGCGGACGGGUGAGUAACACGUGGGUAACCUGCCUGUAAGACUGGGAUAACUCCGGGAAACCGGAGCUAAUACCGGAUAGUUCCUUGAACCGCAUGGUUCAAGGAUGAAAGACGGUUUCGGCUGUCACUUACAGAUGGACCCGCGGCGCAUUAGCUAGUUGGUGGGGUAAUGGCUCACCAAGGCGACGAUGCGUAGCCGACCUGAGAGGGUGAUCGGCCACACUGGGACUGAGACACGGCCCAGACUCCUACGGGAGGCAGCAGUAGGGAAUCUUCCGCAAUGGACGAAAGUCUGACGGAGCAACGCCGCGUGAGUGAUGAAGGUUUUCGGAUCGUAAAGCUCUGUUGUUAGGGAAGAACAAGUGCGAGAGUAACUGCUCGCACCUUGACGGUACCUAACCAGAAAGCCACGGCUAACUACGUGCCAGCAGCCGCGGUAAUACGUAGGUGGCAAGCGUUGUCCGGAAUUAUUGGGCGUAAAGGGCUCGCAGGCGGUUUCUUAAGUCUGAUGUGAAAGCCCCCGGCUCAACCGGGGAGGGUCAUUGGAAACUGGGAAACUUGAGUGCAGAAGAGGAGAGUGGAAUUCCACGUGUAGCGGUGAAAUGCGUAGAGAUGUGGAGGAACACCAGUGGCGAAGGCGACUCUCUGGUCUGUAACUGACGCUGAGGAGCGAAAGCGUGGGGAGCGAACAGGAUUAGAUACCCUGGUAGUCCA
rnacentral:rRNA from 1 species